rfam:Camelus ferus unplaced genomic scaffold scaffold258, whole genome shotgun sequence.
AAGGGUAUAGCUCAGUAGUAGUGUGUGCUUAGUAUGCACAAGGUCCUGGGUUCAAUCCCCAGUACCUCCA